rnacentral:lncRNA from 1 species
UUGGACUUUUCAAAGUUGAUUUGAAGUGAUUUUGAAGUUUGACCUUCCUUUAAUAUUUUAAUUCAAGUUUAUUUUGAAUAUUAAAAAUGCCAAAAAAUAUUUUAUUCAUUUCUUGACUUCCAAUCUUCAUCUCACUUUUGUUUUGAUUGUUUGACCAUGAUCCUCAAUGUCAUUGGUCAACACUUGUUGAUUGGUACAUUCUAUUUCAUUUAAUGCACUUUGUUCUUUAUUUUCCAUUAUCCAUUAUUCA